rnacentral:rRNA from 1 species
AGGACGAACGCUGGCGGCGUGCUUAACACAUGCAAGUCGAGCGGAAAGGCCCUUCGGGGUACUCGAGCGGCGAACGGGUGAGUAACACGUGAGCAAUCUGCCCUUAGCUUCGGGAUAGCUCCGGGAAAACCGGAAUUAAUACCGGAUACGACCACGGCCGACAUCUGCUGUGGUGGAAAGGAUUCCGGCUAAGGAUGGGCUCGCGGCCUAUCAGCUAGUUGGUGGAGUAACGGCCCACCAAGGCGACG